rnacentral:lncRNA from 1 species
AGCAAUGCAGGAUCCAAGCUGCAUCUGUAACCUACACCGCAGCUCACAGCAAUGCUGGAUCCCUGACCCAAUAAGCGAGGUCAGGGAUUGAACCCGCAUCCUCAUGGAAUCUAGUUGGGUUUGUUACCACCAAGCCACAAUGGGAACUCCCUUGAUAAGGAUAAUUUAGUAGAAGCAGAUGAAGACUACUAAUUUACACAAGAUUUGCAGUUGCAUUGUUGUUGCAACAAUUAUAAUUGGGUUCCAAUUAUAAUUAUUAUUAUGGUUAGACUAAUGAGAUGCAUUUUUUUAAUAUGAAAAAAUUUAUUCAAGGGUUGUUCUUACCCUUCAUGUGUAAAAGAAUCUGAGUAAUAAAGCAUCACUGUACAUAUGCCAGGGAUUUUGUUGUACCUGAGGGGAAGGUAAUCAGCCCCUUGGAGCCAGGGAUAUUUGUUCAGACAAGGCUACGGCUUAGCAAAGGCUUUCCGUGGGAGAGUGUAUCUCUCUAGGUGGAGAGGCUCUCUCAUCAGAAGGCAGCAAACACUCAUGCUGUGGGGAACCAAAUGCAAAUCGGCAGCCAAGAAAGUGCACACAAGACAAUCUUCCUCUGUUCCAGAGGACAAGGACCAUGUGUGCUUCAUUCUCCACAGUGUUCCCAGUACCUAGCCAAGUGCUUGGUACAUAAGAGGCUCUUACUAAAUAUUUACAUAGUAUGAAUGAUGACAUUAUGUAUCUUACAGCUUUUAUUUGUUAUUUAUUUGCGGUGUAACAGAUUACCCCAAAUAUUGUGGCUUAAAGCAUUUUUUAAUCUUCCAUUUUCUGUGGACCAGGAAAACAGGCAUGUUUUACCUAGGUCCUAUGGUCUAAGUCUCUCACUGGGGUGCACUCUGUCCCAGGGCUCAAGUAGGAAGGAUCCCUCUUCUAGGUCACUCACAUGAUGGUUGGCAGGACUCAGUUCCUCAAGGCUAUUGGAUAGAAGCCUCCCUCCGAUCCUUGCUACAUGGGCCACUCUGUAAAGCAUCUGACAGCAUGGCAGCUUACUCCAACAUAGUGAGGAGGUGAGAGGGGGAAAGAGAGAGAGCUAGUCCUGUAGAGGUCACAGGGUUUUGUAGCCUCAUCCUGGAAGUGACAUUACUGCUCUUUGGCCGCAUUCUGUCCCUUAGAACCAAGUUGAUAGGUCUAGCCCACAUGCAGGGAGAGGAGGUUGCACAGGGAAUGAAUACCAGGGGAUAAGGAUUAUUGAGCCACUUUAGAAAGCUGCCCACCAGACCUUGAAUUUUUUUUAAAUGAUUAUAUUCUCAGAAAAAGAAUAUUAAUUUUCAUGUAUCUUUUAAAAAUGAAAUUCAGUAUGCCAUACUGUUUCCGAAGCAUUGGUUCACUUUUUCCUGAAACAAAAAAACUUAAGGUUAAUACCUAAGCAGUACACCACCUGUAUUGACCAUGUUUUAAAAAUAUUUCCAGAUUGUUACAUUGUAAUAAAUAAUGACCUUCUGAGAAUUCAAAGACCCAAAUACAAAGGAGUGUAUUGCAGCAGGUUUAAUCAAUGUUUAGUGAUGAUGGAAUGUAAAAUCGAAAAGCCAAGGAUAGAAAUCAAAUUGCCUUUCUGCAGAAAAAUCCUCAACAAUUGAAAAACUGCUCUAUAAAAUGAAAGAACAGCUUGAUGAUUUAGAAAAUAGAAACAGCAGAAAUAUUCUGUAGAUCCUAGUUAUGUCCCCACUGCUUAUUAGCUUGUCUUUUAGAGAGCAAAGAGGAAGGGCAACAAAAAGAGAUUCAAAUUAGUGGAUUUUGCUCUGGCCCUGAGCCGCACUGGCUUAGCACUAUUAACUCUAAGUAUAUCCUAGACUAAAAAUAAAUCUUCUGCCCUUUUAUUUUUAAGUAACUUUCCUCCUCCAUAGCCAAACCAGAACACAGACACAUAUUAUUAAUUUAUAUCAGACUUAUUUGAUGGACUCUUUAAUGAAUGGAGUUUGAUGUUCUGGUCUGGUAAAAAUUAUUCCUUAUAUCCACAAUAAUGUUAUUGUCUUAAAAUGUAAAACGUAAUCAAAUUAGUCACCUUAGCAACUUGAAUUGAACCCGCAACCUCAUGGUUCCUAGCCAGAUUCGUUAACCACUGAGCCACGAAGGGAACUCCAGGAACAUUACUUUUAGAUGAGCUCAUUUUAACUUUACUGUUCGGUUUAUAUGUUUUAUUACUUCUCAGCUUAUUAGAAUCUGGGGAGAAUGUAGCAAUAAUUCAUUUUUUCUUUUUCUCUCAUUCACAAACAGUGCUGGAGCAAGGAGCUAUGGUUAGUGCUAGAGUUAGGACACUGUAGAUAUAUAUAGCCUCUGUCCUCAGAGAACUUAUAUUCUGGUGGGGAGACAAUUCUGUGAACAAGAAGUUGCGAAAGGUAUGUUGAGAGUCACCAUGGGAAGUGUUUAAGGUGCUGAAAAAGAAACAAGUGCAGUGUUUCAUUUGUUUGGAAGGAUGACCAGAGUCCUCACAGAUGGAGUUGAAUAGGAAUAUGCUAGUCUCAUGCAUGGGGAAGGGGCUGAGAGGGAGCGAGCAGUGUGUACAGGGUCCCCCAGGCAUGAACAGGGAACAGGCUCCCAUCAGCCCUUGAUGCUGGUGCCUGGGACCCCAAAAGAGAGUCAGAGAUAGAGCAGACCAGUGCACACAGGCCCUCCCAUCGAAGGCUUGUUCUUUCAACAUAUUAACCACCUCCAUUUUUUUGGUUAGAAGACUACAGCAGUGGGCCGACAAUAACAAGAGUAGAGAAGAAUAUAUAAAUGAUGUUAGGAAGGAAAUAAUAUUAGAGAGAAAUAUUAGGAGGAAAAAUAUACAAGAUUUGGUGAAACACUGCGGGUGGAGGUACAGGUUGAGGAAAUACCCAACACCCAUAACCUCUUCCUCUCAUGUUCUCUGUCUCUCUGUGGUCCAUCCUGCUCCGUGACUCCAGACCUGUGAUUCUGUGGAUCUCUCUGUCUGGAACACUCUCCUACCUGGCCUAGGGAUCCUCUGCGAACUAACAUGGCUUGCCCUUUUGAUACCUUAGCAUUUCUCUAUUUAGGAUACCACCUGGAAACUGUUUAAAUAGAUAACUCUUAUAUUUAAGUGCAACCUCUUCCACGGUAGGGGCUCUGUCUUGUUUUUCUUUGUAUAACGUGCACAAUCAGGAUAUAACCUUUGUGUAAGUAAGAGUUAAUGAAUAUAAGAGUUCUUUAAAAGAAAAAAAAAACUGCUAUGUAUGUUUUUUGCCUUCAUAUAGCAGAUCAGGUGCUAAGUGCAGUAAUAAUUCAGAAAACACCCGGAUGUCAGAUAAGCACAAGGACAGGGCAGCCCAGGCAAUGAGUCUUGGUGUUGCACUUGUCUUGGUGUCUCUACUCAGAGGCUUUUCCAGUAGCCAGGGAAGCCAGCAGCCAAGGUAGCAUUAGGCCAUUUGACUGGACUUGGAAUCCACAAUGUAGAGAUGGUUCAAGGACCUGGUGCUGGCAAUGUAAGAUGUAGAUUUGCAAAAAUGUGGAUACAAAUAAAUAAAAUUAAUGCUAGCAGCAAACACAUGCUAAGUAUCAAACAAAUGAUUCAGACCGUUAUGUCCUAGAGGACUCUGGAGAGGAUACAUAAGGCCAAUAGUCCUUGAGUGUAUCGUCAGCAAAUUCAGCAUGCUGCUGAGUCUGAAGCCCUGACUUUGUACACCCAUCAGAAUAUUCACCAAAGAAACAGUUUGCUAGUCCUUUAGUGAAUCUGUUAGCAGAGAAACUUGUAUCAGGAUUUCAUUAAAGGUCAAAGUAGGCAAAAAUAUGAAAUUGAAUGGUACAUUUACUUCUAUGAUAGAGGAGCAUAAGCUAUCAGAAAAAGCAUCUGUGAUGAUUUGACUAGUACCCUCUACCCAGUUUUACCAAAAGUACCACAAUAUUCUCGAUGAUGAUGAUUUUGCGCUUGUUUUGGCUGAAACCUUCUAGUUAGGCAAAUAAUUGGUCAGCACAAAGUCCAUAAUACAAACAAUGGCAUGGAGCAUGUUUUGUUGCAAAGGAAAAGGUUCCUUGGGUAUAUGGAGGAAAACUCAGAUUAUUUAUACUGGACACCUCCCUAAAGACCAAUCCGUUGAACACCAUAUGCAGUUGACCCUUGAACAACAUGGGGUUAAUUCAUGUAUAACUGACAUUCAACCCUCUAUAUCCACAGUUCUUCCACAUCCAUGGAUUCAACCAAUCAUAGAUGGAGUACUGUAGUAUUACAGUAUUACCAUGGACUAUGGACUGUGUGGUACUGUAGUAUUUUCUAUUGGAAGAUGUCUGUAUAUGAGUGGACCUGUGCAGUUCACACCCACAUUGUUCAAGAGUCAGCUGUAUAUGGGAUCAUGAAAAAUAUCCGAUACUGUUUUUCAUCUGACGUGGCAAGACAGAAUAUAGUUGGUGAUACCUCAACUUGAGUUUAAGAAAGGGACUAAAUAGAAUUCUUAUCACAAGGAAAAGAAAACUUUAUCUAUUUAUUUAUUUAUUGUAUCUGUAUGAGAUGUGGGAGGUUAACUAAACUUAUUAUGGUAAUCAUUUCAGAAUAUAUGGAAGUCAAAUCAUUAUGCUGUGCACCUUAAACUUAUUCAGUGCUGUAUGUCACUUAUAUCUCAUUAAAACUGGGGGGAAAGAAUGGAAUAAAGUAAAUGAGAAGUAGUAAAACAUAACAAUUAAGCAUGUUUGAUAUAGUGCCAAGCCACUUAGAUUGGAAUGAUGACUUUUCAAAACUAAUUGUGAAACAUGGAGCAAGGUAAUAAUUCUGUCUAUGCCUCAGUUUCUUCAUCUGUAAAAUGAUAACAAUUAUAGUACAUAGUUCAGGGUUAUUACAUGGAUUAAAUAAUAAAUAUAAAAUAUUUAAAAUAGAUUGUAACACAUAGUUGCAAUAACCCAAUAAAUAUUAGCUAUAACUGUUAUUAGUGAUCUUAUUUCAAGUUGAUAACAAACAUGCCUCCAUCAAUUCAUUCACCAAAUUCAAAAUUAACACUACUAUGUAGCUAGUAUGGGACGUAAGCUCAAGUAACAAAUAUCACUAUUCUUGUAUAGAAAUAAAUUCAUAUUUUUUUGCCAUUCAGCAAUCAUCAUUAAUGUGGUGGAUCAUCUGGUAGCAAUUAUCACUUUGUGGAAAUCUGUCACUGAGGUGAAUAGCAACCCGCGUGCAGAAUGCUCCAGGCUCUGGAAGGUAGAGAUAUUCCCCAGGAUUUCAAAUCACAUCAGUGUGGGGAUGCAUUGAGAUGAGUGGAACUGGACAGGCAGGAUAACAAUCAGGACACAUUGUUCUUUCAGGCUUCUAAGAAAACAAGUCUAAGAAAUUUAGUGG